UACGGAGGAUGCAAGCGUUAUCCGGAAUGAUUGGGCGUAAAGCGUCCGCAGGUGGCUGUGUAAGUCUCCUGUCAAAGAGCGAAGCUCAACUUCGUAAAGGCAGUGGAAACUACACGGCUAGAGUGCGUUCGGGGCAGAGGGAAUUCCUGGUGUAGCGGUGAAAUGCGUAGAGAUCAGGAAGAACACCGGUGGCGAAGGCGCUCUGCUAGGCCGCAACUGACACUGAGGGACGAAAGCUAGGGGAGCGAAUGGG
rnacentral:rRNA from 1 species